GACGAACCGUGCGAACGUUGUUCGGAAUCACUGGGCUUAAAGGGCGCGUAGGCGGGCUCACAAGUCAGGGGUGAAAUCCCACGGCUCAACCGUGGAAGUGCCUUUGAUACUGUGGGUCUUGAGGGAGGUAGGGGCGUGCGGAACUUCCGGUGGAGCGGUGAAAUGCGUAGAUAUCUGGAGGAAUACCGGUGGCGAAGGCGGCAUCCUGGACCAUUACUGACGCUGAGACGCGAAAGCGUGGGUAGCAAACGAGGA
rnacentral:rRNA from 1 species